rnacentral:ncRNA from 1 species
UGAAAUGCGCAGAACAGAAAGAGUACCUACACUGGAACUAACAGAGAGAAACUGUCACCGGCUGAAAGCAGUUUUUAGGAAAUGUGUUGGGAAUGCCUCUGGGAGCAGACAGGGCGAAUCGACAGUAGUCCUGUACGUGGCCGGCGUUAACGGAAGGUUAAGGGAAAGCAUCCUCAAGGAUACUUUAAGUAAGAGUGGAACCGCGGAUAUAACUUCGUCUCUUUU